rnacentral:rRNA from 1 species
GAUGAACGCUAGCGAUAGGCUUAACACAUGCAAGUCGAGGGGCAGCAUGGUCUUAGCUUGCUAAGACUGAUGGCGACCGGCGCACGGGUGCGUAACGCGUAUGCAACUUGCCUCACAGAGGGGGAUAACCCGUCGAAAGACGGACUAAUACCGCGUACACUUGGGAUAGGGCAUCCUGACCCAAGGAAAUGAAAUUCGCUGUGAGAUAGGCAUGCGUCCCAUUAGCUAGUUGGUGAGGUAACGGCUCACCAAGGCGACGAUGGGUAGGGGAACUGAGAGGGUGAACCCCCACACUGGUACUGAGACACGGACCAGACUCCUACGGGAGGCAGCAGUGAGGAAUAUUGGUCAAUGGGCGAGAGCCUGAACCAGCCAAGUCGCGUGAAGGAUGACUGUCUUAUGGAUUGUAAACUUCUUUUAUACGGGAAUAACAAGAGCCACGUGUGGCUCCCUGCAUGUACCGUAUGAAUAAGCAUCGGCUAACUCCGUG